CAGCAGCCGCGGUAAUACAGAGGAUGCAAGCGUUAUCCGGAAUGAUUGGGCGUAAAGCGUCUGUAGGUGGCUUUUCAAGUCCGCCGUCAAAUCCCAGGGCUCAACCCUGGACAGGCGGUGGAAACUACCAAGCUAGAGUACGGUAGGGGCAGAGGGAAUUUCCGGUGGAGCGGUGAAAUGCGUUGAGAUCGAAAAGAACACCAACGGCGAAAGCACUCUGCUGGGCCGACACUGACACUGAGAGACGAAAGCUAGGGGAGCAAAUGGGAUUAGAUACCCCAGUAGUCCCUGUCUCUUAUAC
rnacentral:rRNA from 1 species